GCAGGCGAGGGGACGCGGCAGGGGAAGGAGAACGCCGUACCCAAGCUGCCUGCCUUUUCUUCCUGUCUUCCUUUCUGGAGAGGUUAAGACCAGGCUUUCCAUGUGCACCUGAAUCCUCCCAUGUCUCCCCACUGCUCCAAGUGCACAAGUCCUGCUCUCUGCUUAGGAAGACUGAUCUGCGCGGGAAAAUCAUUCUAUACCAGACUCAACAAGAGUGACAUGACUGACCCCUGUGUAAUCAUGCACCAAGAAACCCUGCUGAGUUACCACUCCUGGCUGCAUUCACUCACCGAAGAUCAUAUGUCUUGAUAAGUGGCUUCCCAUCACAGUCUGUUUAAAGUUUUCAGUCAAGCCCUUCUCUCUGAUGCUCCCUGCCUGAUACUGACUCUGGGAUGAUACAGGAGCAUAAUGGUGUGCCACCACCCUGCUCACAUCUUUGUAACUUGCCAUAUAUAAAAAUGUCCCAGCUGUGUCCUCUUUUUCCUGCUGGGACAGGGGCAGGAUAGGUACUAGGUUCUAUGACCCCCCUUCCCAUCCCUCACUCAUGUGUCCUGGUCUCCCUCUAUGUCAUUGUGUCACUUUAGUGAUUUUGCCUAGUUGUUCUCACUGACCAGCUCUUUGCCGCUCUUUGCCUUGGUGGGUUUCUAACCUACAGGAGGCAGAAUCCCUGAGUGGCUUGGCUGUCUCUUGGAGAACUCAUUUCCUGAUCUUUAUGUAGAAUUUGUGAUGUGAGUAGCUGGAUUCCACACUUUUAUCUGGCCUCUGGUAACAGGGUUCCUGCAUACUUAGCAGCUCACAGCCUGUGAGCUCCCAAGUUUACCAGACAUCCUCCAUACCUUCAUGUCCAGCACCAUGACCCCAUUGCUUACUCCCUGUAGUUGGAAUUUUCUUUGGGCCACCAACCAGCUCCAAAUAAAGACAUGGAGAAUUCUUAUUAAUUAUGA